CCUGUCAUGCAAUUAUAACAAGGUAUCACUUUGUAAGUAAUGCAGUGUCAGCAUACAUGAUUAGUAGAUGUGGCUGCCCCACCAAAGCUAUGAAAAAUUGUAGAAGGUCAUCAGCAUAAUAAAUCUGACCACCUGUUUGUGAAGUCCAUAGUAGUCAUAUAUAUAUAUAGGGAUUCAUUUUAGUCUUUUGAAGUGUAGUAGAAAACAGCAUAAUUUUGAGUUUCAC